UACGUAGGGUGCAAGCGUUAAUCGGAAUUACUGGGCGUAAAGCGUGCGCAGGCGGUUUUGUAAGUUUGUCGUGAAAUCCCCGGGCUCAACCUCGGGAAUUGCGAUGGAAAGACUGCAAGGCUAGAAUCUGGCAGAGGGGGGUAGAAUUCCACGUGUGAGCAGUGAAAAUGCGUAGAGAUGUGGAGGAACACCGAUGGCGAAGGCAGCCCCCUGGGAU
rnacentral:rRNA from 1 species